UACGGAGGGUGCAAGCGUUAUCCGGAUUCACUGGGUUUAAAGGGUGCGUAGGUGGGUCGGUAAGUCAGUGGUGAAAUCUCCGAGCUUAACUUGGAAACUGCCAUUGAUACUAUCGAUCUUGAAUACUGUGGAGGUCAGCGGAAUAUGUCAUGUAGCGGUGAAAUGCUUAGAUAUGACAUAGAACACCAAUUGCGAAGGCAGCUGGCUACACAAAUAUUGACACUGAGGCACGAAAGCGUGGGGGAUCAAAACAGG
rnacentral:rRNA from 1 species